AUGAAGACUGAAGGGGGGAGCUGAUAACUCUUCAGAUAUAUUAAGGCUGUUAUAAAGUGGGCUGUGAUCAAUUGUUCUCCACGUUCACUGAAGGUAGGACAGGAAAUUAUGGGCUUAAUCUGCAGCAAGGGA